rnacentral:rRNA from 1 species
AGAGCGAACGCUGGCGGCAGGCCUAAUACAUGCAAGUCGAGCGGUCGUAGCAAUACGGCAGCGGCAGACGGGAGAGUAACACGUGGGAACGUACCUUUUGGUUCGGAACAACCCAGGGAAACUUGGGCUAAUACCGGAUAAGCCCUUACGGGGAAAGAUUUAUCGCCAAAAGAUCGGCCCGCGUCUGAUUAGCUAGUUGGUGGGGUAACGGCCCACCAAGGCGACGAUCAGUAGCUGGUCUGAGAGGAUGAUCAGCCACAUUGGGACUGAGACACGGCCCAAACUCCUACGGGAGGCAGCAGUGGGGAAUAUUGGACAAUGGGCGAAAGCCUGAUCCAGCCAUGCCGCGUGAGUGAUGAAGGCCCUAGGGUUGUAAAGCUCUUUUGUGCGGGAAGAUAAUGACGGUACCGCAAGAAUAAGCCCCGGCUAACUUCGCGCCAGCAGCCGC